UGAAGAUCAAAGAUGGCUGCGCUCCCUU
rnacentral:piRNA from 1 species